UGCCCAUUGGCCCAGUGGUUAAGGCGUCUGACUGUUAUUCUUGUUUAGUGACAAUAGUACACACAUCAGAAGAUCCCUGGUUCGACCCCAGGAUGGGCAG
rnacentral:tRNA from 1 species